rnacentral:rRNA from 1 species
UACGUAGGGUGCGAGCGUUAAUCGGAAUCUGGGCGUAAAGCGUGCGCAGGCGGCGCGUUAAGACAGGUGUGAAAGCCCCGGGCUCAACCUGGGAAUUGCAUUCGAGACUGCAUGGCUAGGAUGCGGAAGAGGGAAGCGGAAUUUCCGGUGUAGCGGUGAAAUGCGUAGAUAUCGGAAGGAACACCAGUGGCGAAAGCGGCUUCCUGGUCCAGCAUCGACGGUUCAGGCACGAAAGCGUGGGGAGCAAACAGG